rnacentral:rRNA from 1 species
CUUUACUGUAGCCUGUUAUUGGCUUCGGGCUUUGACUACGCAGGAUAGGUGGGAGGCGUUGAAGCAGUUCUUGUGGGGACUGUGGAGCCAACGGUGAGAUACCACUUUGUCAAGGCUAGAAUUCUAACCCUUCGCCGUGAUCCGGCAGGGGAACAGUAUCAGGGGGGCAGUUUGACUGGGGCGGUCGCCUCCUAAAAGGUAACGGAGGCACGCAAAGGUUCUCUCAGGCUGGUUGGAAAUCAGCCGUAGAGUGUAAAAGCAUAAGAGAGCUUGACUGCGAGAGGUACAUCUCAAGCAGGGACGAAAGUCGGCUUUAGUGAUCCGACGGUAUGCGCGUGGAAGUGCCGUCGCUCAACGGAUAAAAGUUA